rnacentral:lncRNA from 1 species
GAAAUACUGUUGAGGUGCAAGCAUGACCUUUACAUCCACUCAUUACUAUUUUUUUUUCCAAAUGACGUGACACUCAGAAAAAGUUAACAAAAUCUUACGUUUUUCAACCAGCUAAAUAAGCUGUAAGAAAUGGAUAAACCUAGUUCUAACCCUUGCUUUGCCACUUGUUGGCUGCGUAACCCCAGGCGAGAUAGCUGAGUACUCUAGGAUGCGCGGCUCCCACUCCAUAAAAUGGAAUUCUCGAGAAGAGCAAGAGGAGUUCAGAUAAGCACCUCACGUGUGCCUCUCGGCGGUCGGCAGCUGCAGAAAUGGGCCAGUGAUCCGGACCUCUCUUUUCCUGGACAUGGUGAUGAAUCCAGGCAUGGGCAUGAGACCCAUACAGAGUUAAUCAAGUCUGUCCCUGGGAUUGAUUAACAUCAAUGCCAUAGUCUGUGGCAUGUGGGUAAGUACAGAAAAUGUAGCCAAGACAUAAAGAAGAGCAAAGACACCAGAAAUGAGAAACAGGAGAGGAGAAGUAUUGUGGAGGCGCCGAGUACUGGUUCUGGUCAUAGGCCCUGGUCCCCUCUACUGCUCCUUCAAUUACAUGAAAAUCUUCAGCAUUUUUCUUAACAAUGGGAGCCAAUUAUUCUCACGUCUUGCAUAAGCUAGUUUAUGAUGGCCUCUGACACACGUGGCAAAAUGGCCCUGACUAAUGCACUUUCUGAUGCCGGCAGGUGCCAGUUUGAUUUGUGAAUACAGAUGAGACAUCCCUCUAGGGACUUCUAGAAAUAACAUGAGGACACUUUGAGGAAGGCUCAUUUCCUGCAGGCAAGCAGGAUGAGGUCUCCUGCCAUAAUAAUUUGGAUUAUAAAAGGGAAGUAUGACCUUGUUUUGUAAUCAUAGGCUAUCGAAGCCAGAAAAUAUGUAGGUUAUACUCUCACAAAUUCAUGCAAAUAUCUUAUCCAAACUGGCUCCUGGCUGGAUCUCCCCACACAUGCCCGGUGCCCAAGUGCAUCACAUAAGCACAGACCCAGGUCCAAAACCUAGCAGUGGAGGUCACUUGGGCUCUGGCUGGAUAUACCGUCUGUACUCCGUAGAGAGAAGUUUCUGAGGGAGAUUUGUGAGGUUUUAAUGGUCAGAUAAAUGUAAAAGGAGGAGGAAAAGGAGAAGGAGGAAAAAUAAUCAAGGGUAACGUCAAGAUUUAUGGUUGAGGAGGCAGGUGUUUGGUGAUGCCCGUAGCCCAGAUAAAGCAUUAUUGAGGGGGCAGCAGGUAUACAAAAGAUAAAUUCACAGUUGGACACUAUGAAAGACACUGUGGUCCACUGUUCCUGCUGUUGUAGCAGAUCUUGGAAAGACAGAUCUAGACCUGAGGAAAGAGCUAGAUGUCACAGUCUCUUAGAUGGAAUUGAGACCAUGAGGACUAAAUAAAAUAUUUAAGAUGCCUGUACUAGUUUCCUAGGGCUGUGGGGAAAGUUAUCACAAAGUGGGUGGCAUAGAAGAGCAGGAAUGUAUUCUCACAGUGCAGGAGGCUAGAUACCUGAAAUCAGGCUGUCACCAGGGCCACGCUCCCUUGGAAGGCUCUAGAAAAGAAUCCUCCCUUGCCUCUUCCUACUUUCUGAUAGCUGCUGGCAAUUGUUGGUGUUCCUUGGGUUACAACUGCAUCCAUCCAGUCUCUGCCGCUAUUGUCAUGUGGCCUUCCCUCUGCAUCUAUCUCAGUGAGUCCUGUCCUUUUCUUAUAAGGACAUCAGUCAUGCUGGAUUUGGACCCAACCUAAUCCGGAAUGACCUCAACUUAGUUCAUUGCACGUGCCAAGACCCCAGUUCCAAAUAAGCUUACAUUCUGAAGUUCUGAGUGAACAUGAAUGUGUGGGGGGGGGGCGGUGGUGUCACUAUUUUUUUUUUUGAACUAUCAUCAUUUAUUGAUGAGGGUACAGCUGAAGAAGAGUUACCUCUUCACCAUUAUGUCUUUAUAUUACACUUGAUGGUGGUGUCACUAUUCAAUGCAGUAAAAAGGUGAAGAAAGCAUGAAAGACAGCUAAGGACAAAAUCCUGAGAAGCACUAACAUUCUGGAGGUUAGAAGGGAGGUGUCAGCAAAGAAAUGUAAGGAGAGAUAGAGGAUGUUAAAAUGAGAGAGGGAGGAGGCAAAGAAGCCAGGGGAGUAAAGAGUCUUCUCGAAGCACAAGACCAACUCACAUCCACAGCUGUUAAGAGAUCAAGUGUGAGGGGUACACACAGAUCACUGCUUGCAUCCGUUGCAGAGUACUGGUAACCCCAGUAGGGUGACCCAUCACCCCUGUUUGCCUACAGAUGCAGUGGGGGGCAGGCUGCCUCAGACACAGGGCUCUCAGGACAGUGCCAAGCCCACCGGAUGGUUGGUUUCCCAUCCUUAGUAUCCCCAGUUAUUUGGCCCUGAGGGUGGAGAGAAGACAGGAAUGAAGUUUAACGGGUUGGGAAGUGAGUGGGAGUUAAGACAUGCACUGGGGGUGUGAUUGUGGCUCUUGUGGUUGUGUUGCGUUUUUCUGAUAAUUUUACUACAGUGAGAAUUUCAUUGGUUAAGUAAGGCUUGGGUUUUUAGUCCAAAGGUAAGUCUUCACGUAAGGUCAGCUCGGUCUCUAACCACCUGAUAUUACGAAACAUCCAAAUUAGUGGAGAUCAGAGUGUUUCCUCAGAUGCAGUGAAAGCCACUCUGACCUUUCUAGUCUGGCAGGAUACUCUAGGGCAUGCUAUUUAAAUGAACCCAAUUUUGAAAGUUUGCCUAUCUCUCCUGCAUAUGAUAGCUAUCUUGCUCUGCCUUCAGAGUACUUGUCUUCAAAGCAUUCAACACUGGGCAAAAGUCUUGAUUUUUCCUUAAAAAGAAAUCAGGAUGUCUGACUCCAUCCAGACCUUUGGAUGUAUGAUUUCAUUAUUCAUGGCUGGCGCUCCCCUUCUGGCUUUUGAUCUGUAGUUUACAGAAUAUGUGCAUAAGGAGGCUCUCUUUUCCAUAAACUGAUCUCUUUACCCUCUCAGCCCAGAAUAACUUUCCAUUUAUUCCUCUGAUAAAGCGUUGAUGCCGUGAGCCAGCAUAUAUUAAAUCUAUCAUUAUACAAACACAGCACUAGACUUUUAUCCAGCCCAGAUCAGCAACCAGAUCACUGUCGAUGCUCCUCAAGUGUUUGCUGAUGAUGAACAGUGAAGGGGACCUGUGGUUUUUCACAGCCAUCAAAUCUGGAGAAGGAAUCCCACCUGAGAACAGUUUGCAAAGUCUAUCACCAGUGUCCUGGUGCUCUUACUAGCUUGCCAAGGUAGUGAAAGAAAUCAUCUCAGCCUUAAAUCGCUAACAUGCGUUUUAGGAUACACAUCAAAACACCACCUAAUGGGGGAUCCCUGGGUGGCUCAGUGGUUUAGCACCUGCCUUUGACCCUGGGCACGACCCUGGACACGAUCCUGGAGUCCCGGGAUCAAGUCCCGUGUUGGGCACCCUGCAUGGAGCCUGCUUGUGUCUCCGCCUCUCUCUCUAUCGUGAAUAAAUAAGUAAAAAAUCUCAAACAACAAACACCACUUAAUGAAAACUCUUCAAUGACUUUCUGUCUCUCUUCUGAUGAAGAUCA